AUAAACGCUGGCGGCGUGCCUAAUGCAUGCAAGUCGAACGAGGGUGGCAACACCUAGUGGCAAACGGGUGAGUAACACGUGGGGAUCUGCCCAGGAGUGGGGAAUAACUCCUCGAAAGAGGAGCUAAUACCGCAUGUGCUCUUUCGCUUCGGUGGAGGAGUAAAGUCCGCAAGGACGCUUUUGGAGGAACCUGCGGCUGAUUAGCUAGUUGGUGGGGUAAAGGCCUACCAAGGCGAUGAUCAGUAGCUGGUCUGAGAGGAUGGACAGCCACACUGGGACUGCGAUACGGCCCAGACUCCUACGGGAGGCAGCAGCAAGGAAUUUUCGGCAAUGGGGGCAACCUUGACCGAGCAACGCCGCGUGGGCGAAGAAGUCUUUCGGGAUGUAAAGCCCUUUUCUGUGGGAAGAAGGAAAGACGGUACCACAGGAAUAAGCAUCGGCUAACUACGUGCCAGCAGCCGCGGUAAUACGUAGGAUGCAAGCGUUGUCCGGAAUUACUGGGCGUAAAGGGCGAGUAGGCGGCCUUUCAAGUCAGAUGUGAAAUAGCCCGGCUUAGCCGGGAGGGGUCAUUUGAAACUGAGAGGCUAGAGUGCAGGAGAGGCUAGCGGAAUUCCCGGUGUAGUGGUGAAAUGCGUAGAUAUCGGGAGGAACACCAGUGGCGAAGGCGGCUAGCUGGCCUGUAACUGACGCUGAGGCGCGAAGGCUAGGGGAGCGAAUAGGAUUAGAUACCCUGGUAGUCCUAGCAGUAAACGAUGGAUACUCGGUGUUGGGGGAAUUGACCCCCUCAGUGCCAAAGUCAACACAUUAAGUAUCCCGCCUGGGGAGUACGGUCGCAAGAUUAAAACUCAAAGGAAUUGACGGGGGCCCGCACAAGCAGCGGAGCGUGUGGUUUAAUUCGACGCAACGCGAAGAACCUUACCAGGGCUUGACAUGUAACUUACACUGUCGGAAACAGCAGGGCCGCAAGGCGUGUUACACAGAUGCUGCAUGGCUGUCGUCAGCUCGUGUCGUGAGAUGUUGGGUUAAGUCCCGCAACGAGCGCAACCCCUAUCGUUAGUUGAAGGGUCUAGCGAGACUGCCGGUAGAAAACCGGAGGAAGGUGGGGAUGACGUCAAGUCAGCAUGGCUCUUACGUCCUGGGCUACACACACGCUACAAUGGGCGGUACAAAGGGCAGCGAAGCCGCGAGGUGGAGCCAAUCCCAAAAAGCCGUUCUCAGUUCGGAUAGCAGGCUGCAACUCGCCUGCUUGAAGUCGGAGUUGCUAGUAACCGUGGGUCAGCACACUACGGUGAAUAUGUUCCCGGGCCUUGUACACACCGCCCGUCACGUCAUGGAAGUUGGUAACACUUGAAGCCGGUGGGCCAACCUCUCUUCGGAGAGGGGGCAAUUGUCGAGAGUGGGAUCAGUAACUGGGACG
rnacentral:rRNA from 1 species